rnacentral:lncRNA from 1 species
UGUACAGUACCUCAUUACUAAUGCUGUUGGCAGGACAUUGUAAGGCCCAUUGUAGAUGUUCAAUUAACAUUUGGUGGCUAAUUUCAUGAAUGAAUAAUACAUUAAAUGAAUAUCAUUUGUUGUAGAUAUACUGCUAAUAAGGUCAGCAAGUUAUAUGUUUAUUUAGAUUGUACAUAAGAGAAAUAUUUAGAAAUUAUUCACAGGCAGGUUUGGAAGAAUAAAAUGAGAUAUUAAAAUACUCAGAAAAGCAAUUUAGAAAGUCCAUUUUUAUUUUUAAUUAAUUAUUAUUUUCUUUUUUUUUUUUUUUUGGCUCAGAAGGUAGAAAGUCCAUUUUUAAAAAGCCUACUUAAUGAAGUAAAAACCAUGUCUGCUCACUGAGGUUUUUGGUGUUAGAUGUAAUAGAGCUAGAGCAAUAACCUCAUUGG